rnacentral:tRNA from 1 species
GUGUCGGUAGCUCAGGCGGUAGAGCAUCGGUCUGAAAAGCCGAGGGUCGGAAGCUCAAAACUUCCCCGACACA